rnacentral:rRNA from 1 species
GGUUAAGUUACUAAGGGCACACGGUGGAUGCCUUGGCGCUAGGAGCCGAAGAAGGACGCAGCGAACUGCGAUAAGCCUCGGGGAGCGGUAAGCACGCUUCGAUCCGGGGAUUUCCGAAUGGGGCAACCCACCAUCCGUAAUGGGAUGGUAUCCAUACCUGAAUUCAUAGGGUAUGUGAAGGCAGACCCGGUGAACUGAAACAUCUAAGUAGCCGGAGGAAGAGAAAACAAUAGUGAUUCCCCUAGUAGCGGCGAGCGAACGGGGAAGAGCCUAAACCGUCAAGUUUACUUGACGGGGUUGUGGGGCGUCUCACAUGGAGUUACAAAAGACGCGCGUAGGUGAAUCGUUUGGGAAAGCGAACCAAAGAGCGUGACAGUCGCGUAACCUAAACGCGCGUCUCUCCGAGACGGACCCCGAGUAGCACGGGACACGUGAAAUCCCGUGUGAAUCUGGCAGGACCAUCUGCUAAGGCUAAAUACUACCUAGCGACCGAUAGUGAACCAGUACCGUGAGGGAAAGGUGAAAAGCACCCCGGGAGGGGAGUGAAAGAGUACC